AUUCGGACUAAUUGAGUAAUGGAAGGAUCCGUAAUUGAGAAAUGAAACCCAAUUCCAAAUACUUAAAACCCUAAAAGUUGUUUGCGACUCAAUUCUACGGUUCAAGCCGAGGAGGCGGCAGUGAAGAAUCUCUUUAUCGUUUUUUCAUUGGAAUAAGAUCAAAUCUCGAGUGAUGAAACUAAUCUCAAUCCUAGAGUUGGCUUGGAUAGAGGAACAAACACUUGACUAGCUUGAUUUCUUUGUUGGGUCUCCCCGGUAAACUCAUCUUAAAUCCAUAUGAUAUGGUUUUGAAGGAUGGACAAGUUUCACAACCAAAUUUGUCAUCUUAAUCUCAUUUGCGAGUUUCAAGCCAACCACAGGAGAUUAUUUGCACAUUGCCAAACAGUUAUCUUUUUCGAUUUCCACUACUUAUUAAUCAGUUUGGUUGGCCCCAUCAAUGACAUUUCCACUGCUCAUUAAACAUGCUUUCUCCAUAUGAAGUGAUGAUAUAUUUUGCUUUCUGGGAACAUGUUUAUUCUCUUGAUGAGAGAGGGAUCUUCUUCAAAACAGUGAUUGUAAACAGAUAUCCUGAUUGUGAAUAUAUUUCGUUUUACACUUUAUCAAGUACGGGGCUGAAUGCUUCUACUGCUGCUGCCAAUCUAUCUAAAGAGAAGGACCAGAUGUUUGCCUCCAGUAGAUUUUCUGAAGACAAUGUAGACAAUGAAGCUCUUUGCAUUGCUGCAAACACUGAACGUGAUGGAAGUGGUUAUGUGAUACAAAAUCAUGGAAACAAAAAGAGUCAAAACCUAUAAAAAAACAUAUCUAUAUUAGCCUGUAAUGUCUCAGUUAAUGCGAAGCUGCUUGCGAUGUAAGUUUAUCUUUCUUCUCACUUUUGGGACCAACAGAUAAAAGUGACAUUAUUUUUUAGUCAUGAUUUUUCUUUAUGCUGAGGAACCCUUGAAGGAGAUGAUGUUAUGUUACUUGACAUACCUCAACAAGUCAGAGAGGCAGAUAAGGAUAAGAAGACGAAGGGAUAGAAGAAUCAGUAAGAGACAUGUCGAAUGGAUGAUAUUAAGAAGAAAUAGAGAAGAAGGAAGGAAGAGAUAAUGUGUCGGUUUUAGUUUUUUUUUUUUUGGGUAAAUAACCUUUUAUCGUAUGUACUUUUUUUUUGAGUCUAAGCAUUGUCAUUUUUCCUUUUUUUAAGUAACCAACAAUUUGGUUUCUCCAUUAUAAUAUUCAUUUGGUAAUAUA